rnacentral:rRNA from 1 species
AUACGUAGGGGGCGAGCGUUGUCCGGAAUGAUUGGGCGUAAAGGGCGCGUAGGCGGCCCGGUAAGUCUGGAGUGAAAGUCCUGUUUUUGAGAUGGGAAUUGCUUUGGAUACUGUCGGGCUUGAGUGCAGGAGAGGUAAGUGGAAUUCCCAGUGUAGCGGUGAAAUGCGUAGAGAUUGGGAGGAACACCAGUGGCGAAGGCGACUUACUGGACUGUAACUGACGCUGAGGCGCGAAAGUGUGGGGAGCAAACAGGAUUAGAUACCCUGGUAGUCCACACUGUAAACGAUGAAUGCUAGGUGUAGGGGGUAUCGACCCCUUCUGUGCCGCAGUCAACACAAUAAGCAUUCCGCCUGGGGAGUACGGCCGCAAGGUUGAAACUCAAAUGAAUUGACGGGG